rnacentral:tRNA from 1 species
CAUAAGUUGGCAGGCCUCAAUCCUGCAA